GUGUGUGAUGAGGGAACGUUUUAAAACAGGAGGGAGUGUUCUUCAGUCUUGGGACAGACUGGAGCAGCAACUCAGACGCAGAACUGCAGGGGCACUUGUAAAGAGCACACAUCUUCCCAAACUCUCUGACUGGAAACAUCAAGAACUAGGAUGAGUUUCAGGGUGAGCCUGUUGUUCCUGACCAUGACCGUGGUCAUAGUCUGUGGUCAGAAGAAACGCCCUGCAAAAGAGGAGUGGAACUACCGUGACGGCUCUGAGAAAGUAAGCAUGCGAGGAGUUGCAAAUCUGACUCAAGUGCUUGAUGACUGGAGGUUUGACAUCUUGAACCAAGUUAAAGGACUCCUGCAGAACGACCAUCAGUCCUUGCUGCCUGACUACUCCAGGAUCCAACCUCUCUCUGAGGCACUAGAUGACUUGUUCAAAGAGUUCAAUGCCCUGAAAACUCAUCUUGGUGAGCUGACAGAGAAGUUUGGACCAUUGGAAACCUUUAUCGAUGAACUGAAGACCGAGAGGGCCAGUGCCAGCGCAGCACCUGCUAACCCGGUGCGCAGACGGGUCAUUAAGAAGGCGCCUGUUGUCUCCUAAAAGCUCUGUGCUUGAGUAGAGCUGGGUCUCUCUUAACAGCAAACGACUAUCAUAUAGAUUCGUUUCGCAGUCUUUCUUUGAGCUUCUCACUCUUUUGGCAUCUUGUUGCUGUAUGUUGCUGGGAAACAGGUAAUAAACAAUAUGCUGAACUUGGUGAAUGUCCCUCUAUGUGGUUUAUCUGAAAGCAGCAAUUUAAAACGUGACAGCCUGCUCAUAAUUACUGUUGCAAAAAAUAAUAGACACAGCUGUUACCAUGGGACUUUAUUUUUAGAAUACCUUCUAUUACUCCUAAUCAAAAAGAAACAAGUAUGCAUUGGGGUGACACUUUAGUUUAGGGUCCAGUUCUCGCUAUUAUCUAGUUGCUUAUUAGCAUGCAUAUUAUUGGCUGUUAUAUUCAUACUUAUAAAGCACAUAGUAAUGCCUUAUUCUGCAUGACCAUAUUCUACAUCCCUUAAUCCUAUCCAAUAUCUAAACUUACCUUAAUAUCUAUUAAUAAACAGUAAUUAGGAGUUUAUUGAGGCAAAAGUCAUAGUUAAUAGUUACUUAAUUGUGAGAAUUGGACCCUAAUCUAAAGUGUUACCCGCAUUUGUUAUUCAGCACAAGAGUAUUUCAUUUCACUGACUUUAAUCCUGUAGUUGGAAUUAGUCUGUAUGAGUAUAUUCAAAUAUGCAUGACUGUCAGUGAAGUGAUAUGUUGUAUUUGCACCUCUCAAAAUGAUCAAUGACUCAUGCAGGUAUAAACUGAUUAUGUACAAGCUAAGAACAUUUCAGGAACAAAAUAAAUCGUGUUUUUCCAUUGUGUAUUUAUGCUUAUAAUCUGAUGAGCAUGGUAAUUAGAUGCUUAAUAUCUCUUGGCUCAUAUUUGCCAUCUCAUGUAAGCUAUAAUAAAUUCAGUCUGUUGCAUUCA